UCGAGCUGGUUCGUGUACCCAGUUAGGGCCUGUCUCGCUAGUUUCUCGACCGAUGUUCCGGGGAAGCGUAACUGGAGCGCGGCGGGCGGCUGCGGCCAGGCGGGCCUGGGGGCGGGCGCCUUGGCCAUGUGCUCAUAUCUAGGGACCGAGAUGGAGGAGCGCGUGCAUCUUUGUCCGGCAGGGCCUCCGCGGUCUGGGAACCCCUCCCCCCGGGCUCGCGGCCGGGAGUGAGUGACCCCGAGGAGGACGGAUGGCUGACCCAAUGGUUUUGCAGACGGGAACAGCAGCCGUCCUCGAGGUUGCCAACUAGUGAGGCAUUGCCAGCGCGUGAUCACCAGCCACCGAGUAUGGGAGCCUGGACCGAGGGUCUGAGCUCUGAAGAGUGGUGACCAGCAGAGUUUUAGAGCCGGCAGCAAUGGCCGGAGCAUCCCAGCCCACGACAAGGCUAAGCUGCAGCAGGGGCAGAAUUUGGAAGUUGCAAGGACCAGUGGCAGCCGUCAACUUGGACGCGGAAAAUACAGGCUUCAACGUUUUGUUUUGUGCUGAGUAUCAAAGAGGACAUUCUUAUUGUGAAAGAGCUGAGAAAUGGAUUUGGCAGCUUUUCUCUGUGACAGUGGAGUCAUUAAAUUCAUAGUUUCCUGGUAUUGUCCCUUAAGCAAAAGUAGCUUUUUGUACUUGUAAAUAUUGUAUGCAUUUGUCAUACUGGGUGAGAGAAACUUCCUGAAAUUUGUAACUCCAUGCAGUUACCAUAGAUGUAAUAAAAGGAUGCUCUUUUGUAUUAA